GGGGAAUUUUCCGCAAUGGGCUGAAAGUCUGACGGAGCAAUACCGCGUGAGGGAGGAAGGCUUUUGGGUUGUAAACCUCUUUUCUCAAGGAAGAAGUACUGACGGUACUUGAGGAAUCAGCAUCGGCUAACUCCGUGCCAGCAGCCGCGGUAAUACGGAGGAUGCGAGCGUUAUCCGGAAUCAUUGGGCGUAAAGAGUCUGUAGGUGGCACUUCAAGUCUGCUGUCAAAGACCGAAGCUUAACUUCGGGAAGGCGGUGGAAACUGGAGAGCUAGAGUAAAGCAGGGGUAGAGGGAAUUCCCAGUGUAGCGGUGAAAUGCGUAGAGAUUGGGAAGAACACCAGUGGCGAAGGCGCUCUACUGGGCUAAAACUGACACUGAGAGACGAAAGCUAGGGUAGCGAAAGGGAUUAGAUACCCCUGUAGUC
rnacentral:rRNA from 1 species